rnacentral:tRNA from 1 species
UAUCAUUCUAGAAAAUUUCAGUUGCAAUCCACGGCAAAACUUGGUAUACUGGUAUUCUAAAUUGAUAAACAUG